AAGACUUUAAGUUAAAUAAAACUAUUAGCCUUCAAAGUUGAAAAUAUAAGACUCCCAUUGUAAGUCUUA
rnacentral:tRNA from 1 species